rnacentral:lncRNA from 1 species
UUAUCUUUUUAAUUUGGUUUUUGUACUCUUGAGAGUACAUAAAUUGUAUUAAGAUUGCUGAGAGUACCUUUUGUUUCUGGAUAUUUUUCUCCAGUUUAGUUGUGUAAGUUAUGUGUAUUAAGUAAUAUUUUUUAUUAUUCUUAUUAUGUUUGUUAUAUAUUUUUAUUUAUUUUUUAAACUUGUUGCUUUUACCGGACCUUUAAAACAAAUACUGAAGACUUGUAGAAAUAACUAUAAAAUGAGUGACAA